GCAUAUUAGUCUUUCAAGAUACAACCCUGACUUUUCUCUCUCAUCUAUCCAUAUAGUCUGCCUCGACCAUAUCAAAGGACAAGCUCCAGUCAAAAUCUAACUGUAGUCACAUGGGAAACCCCAAGGAGUACCACUCGUCUGUGACCAGUCAGAACGAGAAAACAUUAAAUAUUGCUGUUUCAAGACACUAAGUUUGGGGGGGGGGGUGCUACACAGCAAUAGAUAAGCAGAACAGAAGUGGGUACCAGGAGGGGGGGGUCCGGCAUUAAAAACUUAAACCAUACGGCAUUGGCUUUGGAACAGGCCGUGGCCUACAGAGUCUCGGGAAGAUGGUUAUUGGGGCCUAUAAGAACAGUGAGAAAACUGACAGCGAGGGAAAUCAUUAUUGGAAGCAGGAGUAAAGUGACUAGCAAGGCCGUCACCUGCAGUAACGCGGAAAAGAAAAAAAUGUAACUAGUGGAUAGUGAGACCGGCUAAGGAGAUUUCAGGCGGGAUGUUGAAAGUGUCACCUGAGUCCUGUUAGCCACGGAUGGUAAGGGGCAGAGAGAAAUGAAGAAGAAGAAGAAAUUGUUAGGUUUCAGAUGUAAUUUAGAGAAAAUGAAGAGAAUCCAGGAUUGCCUAGGUUCAAAAUUAAGCUCCUUGGUAUCCGCCGCCCCCCACCCCCCGCCAGAGAGUAAAUUAUUUAUUUUCUUAUUUAUUUUAGGUUUUUUUAGUGUUUAUUUUUGAGAGAGAGAGAGACAGACAGAACAUGAGUGGGGGAGGGGCAGAGAGAGAGGGAGACGCAGAAUCCGAGGCAGGCUCCAGGCUCUGAGCUGUCAGCACGGAACCCGACGUGGGGUUCGAACUCACAGACCGCAAGAUCAUGACCUGAGCCGAAGUCAGACGCUCAACCCACUGAGCCACCCGGGCGCCCGGAGAGUAAAUUUUUUAUAAAGUAGGAUGACCAAAGAGCCUCUCAAGGAUGUGGCUCUACUUUAAGACUUCAGAAAUACUUAGGGGUGUGCCUCCUACCUAGAACCCUCAGCUAGGCAAAAGAUUUCUAAGAGUUUUAACAGCAUUGCCCCACAGAAUCCUAACCUUAAGCCCAAAACCAGACAGGGUCCUAUCUCAAAAACACUUGUGAGUGUGGCUUUUGUAAACUCCAAGAUUCCUAGGAACCCCACAAUGUGUUUAUGAGUUUGAGUGGAUGGGUGCACCAUCAGCCAGCGUGAACUAAAAGGGGCAGAAUGACUCAAAACUGAAAAGAAGCCUCUAGACCUUCGAACUUCUAUGGGCAGGAAGCCGGCUAAGGGAGCUAUUCAGUGGCAAAUGUGAGCCAUCUCUCACAGCAAAGAAAGGGUGAUUCAGAGGACAGAACCAGGGACCAUGGAGAGUGAUGCCCUGAGGGCAGGACUGUGACCCAGGAUGGAACUGGAGGCAAUACCUAGCCCGAUUUCAGAAAUGCUACGGACAGGUGACUGCUCUACGUGCCUCCCAUUCUUCCUGCCCCCUCUGAGCAGGAGUGUCUCCUACAGGUAUUUGUACACCCCAGUGUAUAUUGGGUGCUUGUGUGUAGGGGUGCAGGUAGCCUGUCUUUUUAGUUCACAGGUAGUUCUAUUGACAGGAAACUGUUUAAGGAACACCACCGGAAGAGGAAGCCAUUUGUGCCUGGACUGUAUUUAGAUGACAAGUUCCAGGUUUUUCCAUCUGAUUCUUAUGCGCUUUGGGGGCAGGUGCAAAAGGGUGUGAACAUUUUUGCUUGAGGGAAGGAUGUGAAUUAUCAUGCCUGGAGGGCAGAUGGGAUUUUCUGAAGACAGCCACCACAGAGUCUCCAUCCCCCAAGCUCUUCCGCACUGGUGGGAACUCGCCACUUCCUCAUCAAGAGGUGAAGAUUAUUUCUCUCUGCCUGCUUCUACUGGGAAGGGCCUGUGUCUGCCGUGACCAGUAGAAUAUGGCAGCAUCACUGCUGGGCCCACCGUGUCCACUGUGUCCACACAGUGUUUCACUGGCCUGGCAGUUUUCACUUCCUGCCUUUUAGAACACUCCCUCUGGAGCCCAGACUCCAUGCUGUGAGGGCCCCAAGCUACACAGAGGGGCCACAGCCAACAGCCCACAUAAGCUGUCAGUGCCAUCUUGAAUGUCCGGGUCCAGCUGUGGCCAACAUCUGACCAAGACCACGUAAGGGACUCCAGGCUGGUCCCUUCACGCGGUUGUAAAAUGGCUGCCACUUCCUCGAGCCUCCAGGCAUCACAUCCUGACACCCAUGUCCCCAGUGGAGAGAGAGGACUGCUUCUCUGCAUCCUGUUUAAGAGCUAAGAGAACUUUUCCAGAGGUCCUCCAGCAGACUUUCACGCCCCAUGGGCUACAAGUGCAUCUCACAUCCAUUCGUAAACCAUGAGUUACCAUUAUCUUGACCUCAGACUACUCCAGCUUCCCCCCAUCGGAAGCUUUGCCCAAUACGGGAACAAGAUGGGCUUCCGUUAGCAAGGAGUCUAGCUACUGGGUGGGCGAUAACCCAGAAAACCAAGCAGAAGCCCAGAGGCAUUGGCGAUAGGGUGCGCAGAAGAUUCGAGGGCCAGAUCCUGAUGCCCAGCUUGGUUGGUUAGGGGAACAACAAGGAAACAAAGCACGUGUCGUCCAGGGGCUUCCGGAAGUUCCUAGUCCACAGCGUCAAGGAGCUUGAAGUGCUGCUGAUGCCCGACAGAUCUUACUGUGCAGAGAUUUCUCACGAUGUCUCCUCCAAGAACCACAAAGCCCGUCUACAGAUUGCAGGUGGCAAGAGGUGUGAGGCUCUCUGCGAACUCCAGGCGGCCAGGCCCAGCCGAGGCCACGGAAACAAAAAGCCCCAGCCUUUCGGCGUGUACUGCUUGAGGUCACUUUCUCCAUGGAGGUUUUCCUGAGCCCUCCCUCAGGAGACACUGCCAGCUCCCUCCUUCGGUCCUCAACCCACACAUCAUGCCUUCGGCCCCCUACUUGUCUAUGCCCCCCCCCUGAACUGGGACUUCCUUACUUUGACAUCAAAGUGGCUGCUGCCAUUCCUGGCCCACAGAAGGCCAUCACCCAUGUGUGAUGGCAGGCGGAGGAGGGUGCAGAGGAAGUCAGCCCCCCAGUUCCCUGGGUCAUUAACGUUAACACUGUGGAAUUAUCUCUGCCUUGCUCUUCUUUUCGGAGCGGUGGCCUCAAGCUUGCAGACUUGUGCCCUUGAGCCAGGAUCCCGUCAGGCUGAGAAACCCAGUUUGCUUGUUCUCCUUUUAGUCGGGGCUGGAUAGGAACCCCGUGGGCAGUGUUGGGCCACAGACUUUUGGCAAGUGGUGCCAUGGGCUUGACUCUUAACUUUUCCCACAGUCCUUCAAACGGACCCUCUGCCCUGCAGGAUGGCUUUUAGUGGAAUGUCACAUGUCCUCGGCACUCGUCUGUGGUCCCUGGGACGGCACCUACCACACUAUCUAGGCUGCGUGUCUUUGGUCUGUCUCUCCUGCACGAUGACCAGCUUUGUGAGGACAGGCGUGCUCUUAGGAUCAUUUCUGAACCCAGUGCCUGGAAAACGCAGAAGAGAUGUUUAACGAAUG